CAUCACAGCUCGGAGGUAUGGAAUCAGAACUGCUUGGAGUUUCUCGAGGUGAUUGUGACGUUGAACUUUCUCAACAGAGGGUGCUAGAAGGACACUGAAGGAAGAAAGGACUCUCCCCUGUUCCUCGCUGCUUCCAGAGGUGCUAUCUCAAGCCUCUUACCAUGCCAGCUUCCAUCUGCAAGCCCAUACACCUGACCCACCUCCCGGCUCCUCCCUGCAUGAUUGCCGUGGGGCUGGGCUCCCGCUCGCCGAGCACACCCUUGUGCCUGGCCACCACAUGCCGUUCACGUCACAGUCACCCAGUGCUCUGGUGCCCCUCCAGCAGCCCAGGUCCAUGUUGCAGCCAUCACCUGCAGGUCAUUUAUGUGCUGCCUGAAUUCUGGAGGGUCGGUUUCUGCAGAUCAGCUCUGGUGCAUGCCAUGCCGCCCGUGAACUUCCCUGGCAUCUAGUGGGUUCCAGCUACAGCCUUGGGAGGGACCCUGUUUGAAGUUUAUUCUUCUCUCGCUACCCUCUCCCAGCCCUGGGAUUACCAUGUAGAGUUUCUCUUAUAUCCUAUAGUUAAUCUUUUAUCGAAGUCUAAUAAUGCUUCAUUAAAAAAAAUAUGACGUGAUGUCUGCCUCGUGAUUGGCCCCAUUGAUGCUUGCACAUUUUGGCCUUAUAUAAAGGUAAAUAUAACUUAAAACUUGUAAUAUUUGAGCUUCCACUGGUAUUGAGCUAGAUACCAUCUAAAGUUUCAAAUUAAAAAAUGGCAUUUUAGAAAUAAAACUUUCAAAACUGCAAAA